rnacentral:lncRNA from 1 species
CUCCCUUCUCUGUCUCUCUUUCUCUGUCCCUGUCUCUGUCCCUCUAUGUCUCUGUAUUUGUCUAUCUCUGUCUCUCUCCCCCUCUCCUCUCUGUCUCUGUAUCUCUAUAUCUCUGUCUCUGUUUUCUCUAUCUCUCUUUGUCCCUGUCCUCUGUCUCUCUCUGUUCUUUGUCUCUGUCUGUCUCUGUCUCUAUGUCUCUGUCUCCCUAUCUCUCUCUCUUUCCCCCUUUUCAUCUCUCUUCCCCAUCUCUGUCUCUAUCUCCCUCUCUGUCUCUGUCUCUCUCUCUCUCCCUCUCUGUCUCUGUCUGUCUCUCUGUCUCUCUCCCCCAUGUCUCUCUGUGUUUUUCUCUCUCCUCUCUCUGUCUGUGAUUCUCUCUGUCUCUCUGUCUCUGUCUUUCCAUGCCUCUUGGUCUCUGUCUCCUCUCUCUGUCUCUCUUUUUAUCUCUUGUCUCUCUAUGUCUCUGUUUUUCUGUCUCUAUCUCACUCCCACCCUCCUCUUUCUUUCUGUCUCUCUCCAAUCUCUCGGUCUGUGUUUCUGCCUGUCUUUCUCCUUUCUCUCUCUGCCUCUCUCUGUCUCUCCUCCCCCUCCUCUCUUUGUCUCUGUCUCUGUCUCUCUCAGUCUCUCUCUCCUCUCUCUCUGUCUCCUCCCCUCCUCUCUGUCUCUAUGUAUUUGUGUGUGUGUCUCUUUGUCUCUGCCUCUGUCUUUCUGUCGGUCUCUCUGCCUCUCUCUGUCUCUCUUUUCCCCCAUCUUCUCUUUGUCUCCCUCUGUGUUACUCUCUACUCUCUCUGUCUCUCGGUCUGUGAUUCUUUCUGUCUCGAUCUGUCUCUCUGUGUCUCUCAGUCUCUGUUUCCUCUCUCUGUCUCUCCCUCUCUCUUUUUCUCUCUCUGUUAUCUCUCUGUCUCUGUCUCUUUCUGUCUCUCUGUACUCUCUCAUUCUCUCUCCUGUCUCUCAAUCUCUGUGUCUGUUUUCUCUCUCUGUCUCUAUGUCUUUCCCUGUCUUUCUCUGUGUGUCUCUUUCUGUCUUUCUUCCCCCAAUCUUUGUCUCUGUCUCUUUCACUCUCUCUUCUCUGUCUCUAUCUCUAUCUCCCUCUCUCUGUCUGUCUGUCUCUCUCUCCGUCUCCUCUGUCUGUCUUUGUAUGUCUCUUCUCUCUCUAUCUCUCUGUCUCUCUCUCUCUGUCUCUGCCUGUCUCCUCCCCCUCCUCUCUCUAUAUAUCUUUCUGUCUCUCUCUCCUCUCUCAAUCUCUCUCCUGUCUCUCAAUCUCUGUCUCUG